rnacentral:rRNA from 1 species
CCUACGGGAGGCAGCAGUGGGGAAUAUUGCACAAUGGGGGAAACCCUGAUGCAGCGACGCCGCGUGAGGGAAGAAGUAUCUCGGUACGUAAAGCUCUAUCAGCAGGGAAGAAAAUGACGGUACCUGACUAAGAAGCCACGGCUAACUACGUGCCAGCAGCCGCGGUAAUACGUAGGGGGCAAGCGUUAUCCGGAUUUACUGGGUGUAAAGGGAGCGUAGACGGCAGCACAAGUCUGGAGUGAAAUCCCGUGGCUUAACCCCGGAACUGCUUUGGAAACUGUGCGGCUGGAGUGCAGGAGGGGUAAGCGGAAUUCCUGGUGUAGCGGUGAAAUGCUUAGAUAUUAGGAGGAACUCCGGUGGCGAAGGCGGCUUACUGGACUGUAACUGACGUUGAGGCUCGAAAGCGUGGGUAGCGAACAGGAUUAGAUACCCUUGUAGUC